UCGAAUCUAAUGUAUGCAGGUCAAGUCAAAUUCAUUUAUUUCUGAACCCAAAUCGCACGCACCCUGCAAAUUAGAUCCUCUCAGAUUUCGAUUCAGUCAUUUAUCCCAACCCCCCUGCAUUCAGAACAUACAUCUAGAAUCAAAUAUGGACUGAAUCCCAUGCAUCCUCAUCCCAUCGGAAUUAAUUCCAUCGCCCAUGGAUUAAGCCCAUCUUUAUUCACAAGCUCCCAGCUGAUUAUACAACUCAUCCCUUGUCUCUUCUUCGGAACAGAAUCCCAGCAUCUUCAAAACAGAAACCAUCUUCCCAGCCAUGUUCUUCCCUUCCGCAUCCAAAGCUUCCACAUCGUUCCAUCCUUAUCCUAUCUCCCAACGAACUCCAAGCUUGAUCCCAUUGUGAUCUUCUCUUCUCCCGUUCGGAUCAAGCAACCAAUAUUCCCCUGUUUCACAUCCCGUUUGUAAUCAUGCUCUUCUCGAUUGCAUCCCUUGAUUCUCUCCUUCCUAGAUUUCCUCCAAAUCUAGCAACACCCUCCCAGCCGUUCCAAGCUCCCGAGUUCAUCCUUAUCCACGGAUUCAUCCCAGCGUCCGUGAGUUCCUCCCAGCAUCCUCCUCUUCCAGCUUGAUUCCAGCUCCCCUGUUACGCGUAGCAUCCCAUCUUCAUCACAUUCCGAACUCCCAGAUUUCUUCCCAACAGAUCAAUCCUUCAUCUCUUACUAAAAAUCUCUUCUUCCCAACGUCAUCGUCAACUUCUCAUCCAAACUAGCUUAAAUUCUUAUCCCAAACAAGUUUAUCUUCUCAGAUCACAUCUCCCAGCUCUCAUCUUGUUCCAAGUUCAUCCUUAUCUCACGCCCACCUCCCAGAUCUCCAACCAAUGGCAGCACAACCAACCUCCCAACUCCACACUCCGAGUUCAUUUCCUUAUCCUCAUCUUCCUCUCUCCCCCUGUUCCACGUCCGCAGCUUCAUCCUCCCGAGCUUCACGGCACAUUCCCCUGCUUCGGAUAAGUCCCCUCAUUCACAGCAAAUCCUUCAUCGGCCAUGGAUAAGUGUAGCUCCUACCAGCCUCCGAGUUUCUCCCCAGCGUUCGGAUCAAAGCCCCAGCUUCCGGAUCAUUUCACAGCCGUUCCCAAACCUCAUCAACUUCUCUUCAUUCGCAUCUCCCCUGUUUCGGAACAUGAGCAAUAUCCCCUCUCAGCCGUAAACACCAACCUCAUCAACUUUCUUCCUAGAUCUUGCUGCUCAUUCCAAUUGUGAUCCUUAUCCACGAACCCAGCAUCAUCAUCCUCUCUCACAUCCAUUUCCUCCCAAACAAUCUCCUUCUGGAUUUUCCCAACCGAGUUCAUCCUAUCUUAUGGAUCAGCCAUUAGCCAUCAACCGUACGCGUCUUCCCCGCGUUCACUUCCCCUGCUUCUGCCACAAAGGAAUAGAGAUCUACUCCCAGAUCCCAUGAACAAAAACCAAGCCAGCUCUAUCCUUUCGCGCGAUCAGAUCCCAGCAUAUCUUUUUCCCAACAUCCGGAUUAGAUGUAGCUCCCAUCAUCUGCAGAAGAGAUUAAGCCUUUACAGCCUUAUCCCGCUUCUUUUCAUCUUAAUCCUUCAUUCGGAACAGAGGAAAGAGGGGGAGAUUGCAGCUACAAAAGGAGGAAGCUUCACCGGGAGAAAGUAAGCUGGGAGAGGCCGACUUCGCAAAGAAACAGAGGAGGGAGAGAAGUUUGGGUCUUUUUGGGAAUGCCUUCUCAAAAGAAAAAAAUAAUGAAUUGCUAGAGAAGGAAGGAGAGACCCAGGGAAGAAAAGAAGAAAUGGGAGCCCGCUACUGUGCUACUGCUGCUGUCGCCCACGACUCCAUGGAAGGCUGAUCUCUUCUCCAGGGCCGGAUGUAGCCCUAACAAAGGGCUAAGGGUUUUAUAUUUUAAUUUUAUAUUCUUGGAGUUGUAUGAACUUAUU
rnacentral:lncRNA from 1 species